UAGCUCUCUGUUUUCUACGUAUUUUUUCUUGCCUCUGCCCAUCUUCUGAAUCAACAUGCAAACUCUCAUCUUGAUUCUCGCCGUCGGAGUUCCACAGCCUACUCAUGGAGGAUUAUCGAUGGCUAAUGAAUUCGAGAAACACUAGAUUCUUUUUUUUAGCUCUCUCUUCUCUAAGAACUCUAACCCUAGGCUGUUUUUGAUUUGUUUUUGUUCGAUUUCUCCCUCACCCUCUUAUUCAUCCCUGGGACUGAUAAGAGAUUCUCUUUUAUCAUUAUAUGAUUCUUUUGCCAUUUAUUACUGAUGUUUGUUUCUUUGUAGUAGUUGAACCGGGAAAUAGACGCGAAGGUUUCAUUUAGUUCUUGAACUGAAUACUUAUUACAGAAACCAAUUGCACCUAAGGAAUGAUCACCACAGUAGAAGAAGAAAUUAGGAUCGAAGUUAAAGAGGUUUUUUUGGUUUGGUGAGACAAUCUCAGUGUUUUUCAUCGAAACUGGAGUCGGUGGUGCAAGUUUAAUUGCUCAUAGUUGGAAUUUCCUCUCAUUUGCGUGCAGGGAAUGAUUUUAAUUGAAUGUGGAUGCUUGCAUUCUGGCCUCAUGGAAAUCCACCAGUUGUUGAAGGAUAAAUUUGGUGGAUUCAGGUGCCCACAGUAGCAAUUACAUACUGAAAUAUGACAAAGUUAGCUCUAGCUAUAAACUUGAUCACAUAUUUCAACGGGGUGAUGCAUUUUAACCAAGCUAAUGCAUCUAAAAUUCUCGUAGACAAUGUUCCUUUUCUUUUCUUUUCAUUUCUUCUCUUUUCUUUUAUAUUGGUUUAAUGAUACGGACAUAUCUUCUGCUAAGAUGUUGCUACUUACUUGGAGAUGAUAGGAGUCUAAAUUGUUGACAUUUGCUUGGCUAUACAAGGUCCAAAGUUGAUAGUGUUCGAUCAACUUUCAGGAGCUCUAUUCUACUUGCCGAAGGUGAAAUGUAUUGGUUACAUUUCCGUUUAGGAUUUGAACUGGUGUUAUAGUAUAAGCGCAGCAUCUGGCAAGUGGUGGGAAAUUAUCAUUGAUAGCUGCAGCAUAUGAGAAGGCAUAAAUGUCACUGUCCAUGUUUGCACUUGCUGCGUUAACUAAUUAAUGAGUUUAGUGGUACAAGCAAUAUUCUUACCUUUGAAUUGUGCAUAUCCAACACUGCCUCAAUUUCAUUUAGAUUCUUAGCAACUGAAUUUGAAUAUUUUUGAAAUCCUAUCAUUGAUUAGUUUGGGUAUUAGAGAUUGCAUAGCAUUAUGUGAAUUUUAUGAAAUGAAACUGUUGACAGAAUUUUGCUCUACAGAGACCCAGGGGUACUGAGGCUCAAGUACGUGCUUGCUUAUUGAGUUUUUUUUUUUUUUUUUUCUUCUUAUUGAAGAAAUAAUUUUUUUUCUUUAGAUGAGCCAUAAGAAAUCUAUCUUAGGCAUCAUAAUGCUUCCUAAGUCAGUUGUAGCAUUUUUUUUUUCAAAAGAUUGGAAUAACAGGUAGGCAACGUACGGACCAUCUUCAAACAAAUAGUGAUAGUGUACAUUAAAGAUGAUUGAUCUCCAAGAAUUCGCUUGACGUCUCCUUCUUCUCCAAAUCCAUGAGUUCUGUAUGUAAGGGAAAUUCUUCUUCAAAGUAGAUAGUGAUAAGAAAUGUUUUAGAAGAUAUCUGAGAUUUUCUUUAACCCCAAAUGAUGCGGCGUCUUGGGUAAAAAUAACUUCCUAAGAAGAAAUUAAAGAUUUCUCAUGACGUGAAGCAAAAUAAGAAUGUUGCAAACUAUUCCUUCUUUAUCGGCGGCCUCAUUCCUCUUGACGAAGCUACAAAAAAGAUGGCCUUGGAGAUAAUCAAGCAGAUGAGGUAACACUUAUGAGCACCUAUGUUCUUCUUAAAUAUAAGUAAAUUGCAUUGCGUCCAUGUAUUUUUAUACUGAAAAUACAAGUUGUUCCAGUGUCAUUUGAUUGCUUUUAUGCUGAUACAUUAUUUAUGCCUUGAGGAAAAGAAGGUUUUAUGUGUUUUCAGUAGAACAAUUUUUGGUUUUGAAAAGUAGACUACAUUUAAAGGUGAAACUGGCACCUUUGUAUAGGACUCGUAUACUUAACACAUGGACUUUUCAACCACUUUAUCACCUUUUUUGGAGAUGGUUCUUGCAAUUCAGAUUAUCUAAUGUAGUAUUCUGUUCUCAAUCAACUCAGCAUUGAAACAUUGGUAGUUUAGAGUGACAUCUUCAACAACAAAAGUCUGCAAGAUUAAACAUUGGUAGUAUUCUGUUCUUGCAAUUCAUAUACCUUUCUUGGAAUUACCUUUUUUUGGUUUGGCGUUUUUAAACUGUUUUGUUGUGUAUAGGUGGAUGGAAAUCAUGUAUUCCUUCUUGGAAUUACCUUUUUUUGGUUUGGCGUUUUCGAACUGUUUUGUUGUGUAUAGGUGGAUGGAAAUCAUGAAUGUGGAAGGUGAAUUCAAAUGUGUUGACCAAGGGGGUUUGGAGAACGUAUCGAUUUUCCUGAACACUUGGACACUAACGAGGAAAAUUUAGAGGAGACUUUUGUCAACUGGGUUAGUGUGUCUGAACAUAAAAUGAAUGAGAAUUACCAGGGACAAUGGAAUAUAUUCCAGGUUUGGUGCAACUUGCAAGAGAACUACAAUUGCAAUGGUGAGAUUCCUUCUCUAGGAUCAGCUUUCCUACAGGCAACCAAAAGUUAUGGUGUUUCGUGAGGAUCUUAUCCAAAUUGUUAUAUAACUUGAGGAGUAUAAGGGGAUUAAGGAAGCUCUCUUCUCGCUAUCUUUUUAUGCUUAUGAAUCGUUUGCUCUUUCUAAGUGUCUAAGUGUUACUAAUUGUAUCGAAUCCCACUUACAUCGGAAAUGGUACAAGCUGUCUUAGCUCACAAGGAAGAGCACAUGGUUUUCAACCGUGUAGGUGUGGGUUCGACUCCCAUAGAUGGCAUUAUUAUUUGACGUGGCAGACGCAUCAAAAUGUUGAGUCCAUGUUCACUUAAGGGGUCUGUGAUGGACUGCGCCUAACAGUCUGUAUCACGUGCAGAUCCAUCCUUGGUACCUUUGACUUUGACACCAGUUGGAGAUUUGACUGGCCAGGUCGAUAGAAGGGCAUUUGACCAACAAAAUCGUCGUUAAAGAGGAGCUACGUUGUGAGCUGGGAGAAGCAUGGAAAGAAAUCCAAUAACAAACCCUUUAUAAUCUCAACAAACAACGGACAAGUCACAUUAUGUGAAAUAAGGGAUUAUCAUAACCCAAACCACUGAAAGUGUGCACAAGAACAAGUCACACCUGAUAAUAGUUAUACAAAAUAGGAAAACAGGAGUAUUCAAGAUAAUUUUUAUAUGCAAGUAGGUGAAGUUUUAAUUUUACAAAUAAUUAGAGAACGUCAAAGAAAAAAUGUAUCUUUUUGCAAAAUUGUUGAAACUCAUGUUGGACUAAUUUAUCAUCACAAGUUGAAUUUUUGAUAUAAGUUUCACGAUUAGAACUGGGUUCC